GCUUCUUUCUCAGCGCGAAGCUAUUGGGCAGUGGCCGGCGGUGAAUAUUGCUGCUUGGACGUAAAUCUUGUAUAUUAACUGUCUCAACUCCCAGCAUGUCUGGAAACAAUGACGAGGCCUUUAAUCGUGCUGUAAAUGAAUACAUCAAGAUUACGGAGAAAUGUUUCCGAGAAUGUGUUCAGAGCGUUAGAAUUCCGGAGCUGACCCGCAAGGAGUCAAAUUGUUUGGAGUCCUGUGUCAGGAGGGAAAUAAAGUUGUACAAUCAGAAGCUGAGCGAAAAAUCAAGAUAUUCUAAGAAGAAAUAAACAAAGUUUGCAGUGUG
rnacentral:lncRNA from 1 species